GGCCAAUUGUGCGCUGUCCUCCGGGACUGGUUAUGACUGCAGUGACGCUUCUUGCAGACUGCUGCGCUACGCGGGAGCCCAAUUUUAAAAGGGAGACUCCGUGACAAUGAACAGUGAUGAAACCACAGAUGUCGUAGAAGAUCAAGUCAAGUGUAGGCCUUACCUCGGUUAGUGCAGUUAUAGGCGUGCCAUACAGAUGGCGUGUGAUCGUCGCGUGACAACAAACAUAGUCGUUCCACGGUUUAUAUCCAUAUCGCUGAGCGUACCUUUAAUAAUGGUUAAAAAAAAAAAAAAAACAUUGAAUACUAUGCCACACCCUCUUAGCUCAGACCACACCCACAACACACAAUAACCACACCCACAACACACAAUAACCACACCCACAACACACUGUUUGGUAUGCUUUGUAAUUUUAAUUCCCGUAAUGUCAUUUGUUUUUAAAUGCAGACACAUUUUUUAAAAUCUUUUUUUUUCCACAAAAACAUUUCAACUUAAAACUUUACGGUACAAUUAUUAUGCAAGUCAGAAGAGCUUUAGUCUUAGCUGAAGCUCAGGCUUGGAGGAGGGACUGAUUAUCAAACGGGUUAAACAGUGAAGCAGUAUAAAGACGACAUCGAGCAGUAGACAGCUAGCAAUACCUAGUGGACAAAGCUCUGUCUGCACCCUCAGUAGAGACAGCUAGCGCUUCCUAGUGGACAAAGCUCUGUCUGCACCCUCAGUAGAGACAGCUAGCGCUACCUAGUGGACGAAGUGAGGACUGGAACCGUUUCAUCCUCGGGAGCAGUAGCAGUGCUAGCCUGGAAAUCCAACCUGAAUUCAGCUCCCUUUAUUACAGUAGUAAAACCAUUCUAAAACGUAGCGUGAUUCAGUCUGGCUUUCUGGGCUAAAAGCAACAGCGCCACCCUGUGGGGAGACAAUACCGUUACACCCAUCCACCCUAAGAAGAACAGUGUCUCUACAGAGAGAGAGAGAGAGAGACAGCGGUGCAGUCACAACAAGCAGCUUGAUCUAAUAUUCACGUUCAGAAAAUAAACCCUUUUGUCACAUUCUGUUCCGUUCCCGCAGAACACCUGAGAGGGGGUUGGCUGUCUGCUAUCACACUUUCGGCAUGGUAACAACACAGGAGGCUGCUGAUUGGAGGACGGCUCAUAAUAAUGUCUGGAACGGAGCAAAUGGAAUGGCAUCAGACACCUGGAAACCAUGGAAACCAAUGUGUUUGAUACCAUUCCGCUGAUUUCGCUCCAGUCAUUACCACGAGCCAGUCCUCCCCAAUUAAGGUGCCACCUGUGGGUAACAAACUGUCACCAACUCCCAAUUGGCAACUACAUCAGCCAUUGGUUAUUGUUUUGAUCGAUGAUCGGUAGCUAAUAUUGAUUGAUCAAAAUGUGGUCCCUCUCUACCUUGAGCGGUGCAUCAGCCUAUCAGGACUGAGAAUGCAUGAAAAUAAGAAUGACCAAGUGUUUCCCAAAAGGGUCUCAAUCUAUGGAAGCAGAUUAAUGCCAAAAUGUUGGCAGGAAUAAGACUUCAUAGCCCUCAGAGCAACUCAGUGUUUGUCAUAGAAAAAGGAACAUGAGCCGCUAGAGCGAAAGUCGCCUCCGGCAAAAACCCAUUUCAGAUAAUCUCCCGUCUACAGACCUAUUCUGAGAAGAGCUGAUUUGAGACCAGCCCUUAAGUGUUACCAGUCUAAGUUCUGUCCUUAGUGAUACUGAUUUCAGGCCUGCUGUUAACUUAUGGGCCAGACAUGGAUGGUAAAAAAAAACAGUGUAAUAUAUAUAUAGGCUUUCUGUUUCCAUUUCCUACUUUUCAAACAAGUGACCCCAGUCUGGCCGCUCAUUAAAGCGGUAUAGGGAAACAAAAUUACAAAGUGUUUUUUAUCUAAAAUAAAAAUGGUAAUUUAAAAGUCUGCAUCUGUAUGGGCAAACUGACACGCCAUCUAACGUAAGGCGAUGGGUUAGAGUCGAACCGUGGUCAAUCGCGUUGGAACGGAGGAGAUUGUUUUUCCUGUGUCGUCACGUCCACUUCCUGGUUAAGGGCUAGGUUUAAAAUUAACAAAGGUUAAGACAAUAGGAUUCUAAUAUCCCAUAAGUCUUUGCAUAAAUACGGAAUAAGUCUAAACAAUGGGACUAGCAAUGUGAGUCAAAAUGACAAAGUGACUGUUCGCAGUAGCCUAUAGAAAGUUUGCCAACCAAAGUGGAAAAAAAAAACACAAUCGUAGUGAAUUUCCCGCUAAAUACACAGCCAACACAUAGGAUAACUGUUUUUACUGUUAUUCUAUUCAUAAAAAAUAAAAUAAAAUAAUCUAGUCACUUUAUUACUUGAUUUUCACGACCGCUAAUCCUGCAGAAUCGGCAACGGUGCUGCUGGUCAAAUGAAAAUAUUUAUUUUCUAACGUUUCGCAUUGAAAAUCAAUGAAAUUGUCUUAACCUUUGUUACCUAGGUUACAGGCGAUAGCAUCAUAGCCUAAGACCCGUUGCCAGCGAUCUCCCAUUGGUUCCCAGCGCAUUCCGCCACCCUCACGGUUGUAUGGAGUGCUUCACUCAGAUGGUAGAAAAAUAUAGUCUAUUUAUUCUCUUCAUUGUUACAUCGCAGCCAGACAUGUAGUGUUAACAACCCAGCAAUGGAGAGGCUUUCAGGAUAACUAGCACUACAAGAGAAGAAGAAAAAAAAAACAUGAGGGCAAUGACACGUCAUCAACUCCCGUCUAGACACUUCAGGUUAUUUUUUUGUCUUACUUGCUCUUGAUAAUUCAUGGUUUAUAAUAAUACGUAUUAUAGUUGUCUUUUCAUUGGCAUUAUUUGGCAACACGUUUGUAUUUUUUAAAUGUUUUCUUUGUUUUUGUUUUGAGGUACUUUACAAUAUGGUUACGAUGUAAAUUCCACAGUACUUAGAAAUGACUGUAUCAAUCACACAGUAAAACACUACUUUACAAGGCAAAUGGCCACUUCAGAAUAGAUGUUUUCAUGAGAAAUAACGCAGCACAACGAAAGAAAAAUACACAAUAAAAUAACAGCGACUCCUCGCAUUGGGGGGGUUGUUCAGAUUUGAAAAACAAAGCCACACUUUCAUUAAUUUGUUCAUUUACAAGUGAGGUGACUCUGAUAAAAAAUGCUGGUGAUGACCAAUGCAACUGCAAAAACCUCAAUAUAAACCCGAGUUGGACAGAGACUUGCCACAAACCCUGUUUUAACUUGGGCAGAGGCAUUGAUAUGUGCCCUUUAUCCAACUCUAUGCCUCCAUGUCUUGUAUGAGCUACAGGUACCUCCAUAUUAGCCCCUGAUAUCAGACCUAUCAACCCCCUCCCUAAUAUUACUGCUGAUAUCAGACCUAUCCCCCCUCCCUAAUAUUACUGCUGAUAUCAGACCUAUCCCCCUCCCUAAUGUCACCCCUGAUAUCAGACCUAUCCCCC
ensembl:lncRNA